CACAGGUUUGAACUGCACGUGUCCGAUUAUAUGCAGAUUUUCUCCCACCUCUGCCACCCCGAGACAGCAACACAAAGCCUUCCUCCUCCCUCUCGUCAGCACCCCCUGCCUGGACAACAAGGAUGAAGACCUGUAUGAGGAUCCAUUUCCACUUAAUGGAUGUGGCACCAUCGCUGCUCACUGCAACCUCCACCUCCCAGGUUCAAGCCAUUCUCCUGCCUCAGCCUCCCA
rnacentral:lncRNA from 1 species